GGAUGGGUGCCCGAGUGGUCUAUGGGACCGGUCUUGAAAACCGGCGAGUCGCAAGGCUCCGGGGGUUCGAAUCCCUCCCCAUCCG
rnacentral:tRNA from 1 species